UUUGGGGGCGGUGUUUACAGACUGGACUGAUUUUUCCUUGCUGCUGCCCUGCUUCAGCUGGGUUUUUUGAGCCUCCGAAGUUUUCCAACUAGAUUCGGAAAAACGAAAACACAGCUCGGGAAGCCUCCACCAGUCGAUUUGUGUGCCAAUUCGCCUCUGGCAAGGGCUGAACUCCUGGUACACAGAGCAGCCAAGACCAGCUCUACAUUCUUCCCUCCCCCCCUUAUUUCACUGGAGCCGGGAGCUCCGUGCUCAGGGGAAGGGCCUCAGUUCUACAAACUACCAAAGCCGGCUGGGUCGCUCCACUCCAAAAAAGGUGAGAAAGGAUUUCAUCUUUUUCUCAGAGGAGCCAGAAGCAG
rnacentral:lncRNA from 1 species